GAUGAACGCUGGCGGCGUGCCUAAUACAUGCAAGUCGAGCGAACAGACGAGGAGCUUGCUCCUCUGACGUUAGCGGCGGACGGGUGAGUAACACGUGGAUAACCUACCUAUAAGACUGGGAUAACUUCGGGAAACCGGAGCUAAUACCGGAUAAUAUAUUGAACCGCAUGGAUCAAUAGUGAAAGACGGUUUGGCUGUCACUUAUAGAUGGAUCCGCGCCGCAUUAGCUAGUUGGUAAGGUAACGGCCUACCAAGGCAACGAUGCGUAGCCGACCUGAGAGGGUGAUCGGCCACACUGGAACUGAGACACGGUCCAGACUCCUACGGGAGGCAGCAGUAGGGAAUCUUCCGCAAUGGGCGAAAGCCUGACGGAGCAACGCCGCGUGAGUGAUGAAGGUCUUCGGAUCGUAAAGCUCUGUUAUUAGGGAAGAACAAAUGUGUAAGUAACUAUGCACGUCUUGACGGUACCUAAUCAGAAAGCCACGGCUAACUACGUG
rnacentral:rRNA from 1 species